AAGCCCGCCCUUCUCUCCCAAAUCUUCCCGCCACCUCUCUCUGUCUCUCUCCGCGAAAAAUGGGGACAGCUAUUCUCUAAUAUUAGGGCAUCCAUUGCCUUUUUUGAUCGAUCCAAUCGACUGUAACUUCGGACAGUCCAAAGUCCCUCACUGGGUCGAGGUGUAGGAGAGUGAAAAUGGGGAUCCAGGGGCUAUUGCCAAUGUUGAAAUCGAUAAUGGUCCCGAUGCAUAUCAAGGAGCUAGAGGGCUGUUGUGUAGCCGUCGACACCUAUUCUUGGCUGCAUAAAGGGGCCCUUUCUUGCAGCAAAGAGCUCUGCAAGGGUCAACCCACCUCCAAGCACAUUGUUUACUGCAUGCACAGAGUGAACUUGCUGCGGCAUUAUGGUGUUAGACCUAUUCUUGUCUUUGAUGGAGGUCUUCUACCAAUGAAGAUUGAACAAGAGAACAAGCGUGCAAGGGCCAGGAAAGAGAAUCUUGCCCGUGCUAUUGAGCAUGAAUCAAAUGGAAAUGCUGCUACUGCUUAUGAGUGCUAUCAGAAGGCUGUUGACAUCUCUCCUAAAGUGGCAUAUGAACUAAUCCAGGUCUUGAAGCAAGAGAAUGUGUACUACAUUGUUGCUCCUUAUGAGGCAGAUGCCCAAAUGACAUUUUUGGCAGUCAGCAAACAGGUUGAUGCAGUUAUUACUGAGGACUCAGACCUAAUAGCAUUUGGUUGUCCCAGAAUCAUCUACAAGAUGGACAAAUUUGGGCAAAGCAUUGAAUUUCAGUACUCCAAGUUACAACAGAACAAAGAACUGAAUUUUACAGGGUUCACUAAGCAGAUGCUUCUUGAGAUGUGCAUUCUUAGUGGAUGUGACUAUUUGCAGUCUUUGCCUGGAUUGGGCUUGAAAAAAGCUCAUGCACUAGUGAAGAAAUUCAAAAGUUACGAUAAGGUAAUCAAACAUUUAAGAUACAGCACGGUUGCUGUUUCUCCUGGAUACGAAGAAUCAUUUAAAAAGGCAAUACUGACAUUCCAACAUCAACGAGUUUAUGACCCUACGAUUGAAGAUAUUGUGCAUUUGUCCUGCCUGCCUGACAAUACUCUCAAUGAUUUAGACUUCUUAGGCCCAUUAAUACCUCAAAGAAUUGCAAAAGGUAUAGCAAGGGGUGAUCUGGAUCCCUUUACCAAAAUGCCAUUUGAGGAAGUGAACAGGAAUACUGGUUCAGCAGUUGAUGGAACCUACGAACUAAAAAAUUUCAACCCUGAAAGGAGAAAGCUAGAGUUGCCUGCACAGAGAAAUCUCCUGACAAACUACUUCUGUUUUGCAUCUCUUGAAGCAAAGAGAAAGUAUAAGGUCCCUCGGGAUAUGCCUAAGCAUCAAAGUCAAAUGAGAGAAACAUCUAGUCCUGUGGAACAUGUCACCAAGGAGGAUGCUGCUUGCAAAUCAAACUGCACAGCAGGAUCCCUGCUUGACAGCGAAUAUCAAGGCAUGCCCUCUCCUAUAGAGAACUGUGCUGGCAAUGGUGUUGUUGCAGAAUCUCCUCGGACAUCGGAAUCUCCAAUUCAUGGAUUAUGUGACAAAAAGGAUACUAUGGCUGACAAGAGGAACCCACAUGAUCUUUUGCUGCAACAGUCAUGGCAUUCAAUUCAUAAACCUUGUAUAAAAUCACAUAAGGAGCAGGAAGAGAAGUCUAGCUUAGAUGGGAAUGAAGGCAAAAUGAGCAUGGAGCAUCCAAAUGUCAUCUUGGAGAGUUCUUAUUUUCAGCAUAAGUCAGCAAAGGGAAGUGUACUUGUAAAUCAAAAUGAAAUGCUAGUUGAAAAAAAUUAUAUUACCAUGGAUAAAAGGGAGAAUACUGUCUAUGAAUGUGAAUAUAAGGCUUCUUCUGGAGCUAGUGAGGGUGAAACUAGAAUGAAGAACAGAAAAACUACUGUGAGGAGUUCUUAUUUUCUGCCUAAGUUGGUAAAUGGAAAUGAUCAGGGAAGUAAGAACACAAAGCUUUCAGUCUAUAAUCCUUCCACUGUUAUGUGUGAACAUGCCAUCCCUGAGAGUACUUCUGAUAAUAAGUAUACUAGCAGCUCAAUCAUGAAAAGGAAGGUUCCCUCUGUUGAUAGUGAUCAAAUUGAAAAGAUGAAUUACAAAUGCGUUCGAACAAAUGCUUCUCUUUCAACUCAAAGUGCCUGCUCGUUCACCCCUGAUGAUACAGUCAUAGAAGCAAAUGCCAAAUCAGGGAAGUUUGGAUGUAACAUCUCCCAUUUGGAAAAGUAUUCAGACAUAGCAGAGAAAUCAAUGGAAAGAUUCGUUUCUGUAAUGUCAUCAUUCAGGUUCUCCUCAUCUGGUUCCCGUGCUAGUGGUCUCCGUGCUCCUUUAAAAGAUGUGCAAAAUACAUUUACUAGUAGGUCAACUGCUGGUGUCGAUUUCAAUAAAUUUGCAUAUGUACCAACCAAACGAAAAACUUCCUCAGCAUAUCCUAGAGGCUAAGUUUCAAUAUAUAUUACGGAAGCAUUUUUUCUGAUUGGUGUCUAGUUGCAUUGUUCAGUUCCAGUGAUACUCCCAAGCCUGUCACCCUUUGAUGUCUGUAGGAGCCUCGAUGCAAUUAGAGACUGAUUUUGGAUGGAUUGAGGUCUUCUAUAGCGCUAUCUGCUAUAUGAUUCAUGCCCUUCGUGUCAUAAGCUUUUAAGUUGAGAUAAGAUGUUAUAUUCUUUUUGUAUAUUGAAUUCUCAGAACUUGUGGGACAAAAGAACAUUGAACUGGCCUUUCUGAAACUGUUACUGAGAAUGAAUGUUGCUCAUUGCCUUUCUGUGAUCAAUCAAGGGAUUGCAGUCUUCCUGUAAAGGAUUUUGUUUCCCUACUAAUGUCCCUAUGAAACUGAUGGACGUGACUUCUUAAUA